UAUGUUCCUAUCUGUAAACUCUUUUUCCAUUGUCUCUUAGCUUGCAGCAGAGAUUCAACACAGUUCUCACAAGUGUUCCUGUCAUGUUCCUUGCCCGACAUCCACGUGGAGCCGAAGGCAUUAAUUAACUCAGAGAACUUAAACUGCCAGUGAUGUCUUUUUGCUUUGUUAUGCUGCAUUCUCAUCCAAACUGAGCAUUCCCACUGUAAUUAGAGUUUAAACUGUUACAUACAUUGAAAUGCUGGAGUCGGGGCAUUGCACAGGUGCAGCUUUCACCUUCUUCACUGUGGUAUCCAGUUUAUUCCUCGUGACAUGAUUUGUACAUUUUUCACAAGUUUUCCAUAGGAGAGUGCCAACUUGUCUACUUGUCUACAGAAGCAGAAUUUUCUUGAACCUGGAGCAGGGAUAUCUGAAUUAUACCACUAACUCUACUAGACGUUUCCAGUCUUACUUUGAGGAAGAAGAGGCAGACAGUUGACCUUGAACUGUCAAUUACACCCAGAAGGAUGAGAGUCAAAUGCUACCAGAUAAGAUGUCUUGGAUCUCCUUUGACUUGCUCCUUUCCAGUCUGUACCUUUGACAAGAUCCUUCAUAUGUACAUCUCUGAAAAGUGCAUCGCUUGCUAACAUCCUAAUGCCUUCUACUAAAAGUUCCACAUAACCCACGUAUCUCCUAAGAUAACUGAAGAAACCAUUAUGAUGGGUCUGUGUCUUUGCUGAAGAGUCUGUCAGGCUUUAACUUUCUGCUUCUGUCCUUUCUAUUGGUAUAGUACCUGAAAUUAGACUUUCAAUAGAAGGGGUGAAAUUUGUCAGAUGAAAACUCUUCUUGAGACAAAAUACUGAUUUGGGUUGACUGAAAUGGCCUUCAAGUUCAUUUAAUUGUUUCAGCUGGAAAAAACGUUUUUAUGUCAAAACAUGUUAGCUGAAAAAAAACACUUUUAUUUUUUGUUUUGGAAAAUAUGCUUCAAUAUUAAAUGUAUCUAAAUUUAAUUUUACUAAAGACUGUGAAAGAAUAACUUGUAUUUCUUCAGUAUAAACUAUUCCACUUAAGCAAUUUCAAUGACUUUUUGUUUUCAAUAUCAAAACCAAACAGAAAUUAAUUUUGGAUCAAUCUGAAUAUUUUCCCUCUGUGGUUUGCCCAUUAAAAAUAAAUGUACUACAUUUCUCUAAUCGUUAUUUCAACAGGCCAAUAGCCGGUCUUUUUACUGGUGGUUCUGAAAUUGCUUUCUAUACCAUUGUACUGUAAAACAUAACAGCAGCAGGAGGUCUGUUUUGAUAAAGGAAGCCUUUCAUUACUGACCUGAGCCAUAUUAGCAAUGAAGACCCUACCUUGUGUGCUUCACCACAGAGAUGUAAGACAAGGAGGGACCAUCACCACGCCCAGGGUCCUCACUAUUCCAGGCUGCCAUGCAAUAGCAUUAGUUCGGAUGUACACGUCCCCCCUCACCACCACCACACACACAGACUCACUCAUCACAAGCCACACAGCAUUUCUUGAUAACCUUUAAGAGUCAAAAUUAACAAAGCCUAUAAUAUGCCAUUGGAAGAUAAAAGAUUAGGCCCCGUAUCUGAAGACUCUUCAAUACAAGGUCUGUUCUGUCUUUGGUGCACCUUAGAAACGGUCUUGUCCCUGAAUUUUUCAAAAGCCAUUACUUUUAUAAUAAAAUUCUUUCUCAUAAUACGAACAGCCUUGAUAAUCCACUCUUCUAUGUAAAAAGUGCAGGGCAGUGUUUCCUAAUGCAGCCUUAAUAUGCUCUUUGGUAUGUUCAGACCUCUCUCUUUAGCACACAGAGGUGAUCACAUUUUCACUGACAAAUCCUGUUUUGCAAGCUGAAUUUUGUAGAUAGAAAUAAUAUGUAAUUCAUACGACUAACAGAUUUUUUCAAGUUAAAUGAUGUUAACUCACAAAGAAAAUUAUAAGUUUAUUUAAGAUUGUUUAUGAGUGUGCUUAUAUAGUAAAACCAUUAAAACCAUUCACCAAAAUGGUUGUAUUAGCUCAUGGUCUUUGGCAUAAUGAUUUUUGUGUGUUGUAUAUGUCUUCUUCACUUCCUAUUACUGGUUGUCAACAGUGCCCUCAUCCACAGGGAUAGAGGUGACUUCACAAUGCUGUAAUAAAGGUGUGGCUGUUUUUA